CAGUAGCCACGGUAAUACGGAGGGGGCUAGCGUUACCCGGAUUUACUGGGCGUAAAGGGCGUGUAGGCGGCCUGGGGCGUCCCAUGUGAAAGGCCACGGCUCAACCGUGGAGGAGCGUGGGAUACGCUCAGGCUAGAGGGUGGGAGAGGGUGGUGGAAUUCCCGGAGUAGCGGUGAAAUGCGCAGAUACCGGGAGGAACGCCGAUGGCGAAGGCAGCCACCUGGUCCACUUCUGACGCUGAGGCGCGAAAGCGUGGGGAGCAAACCGGAUUAGAUACCCCGGUAGUCCCUGUCUCUUAUAC
rnacentral:rRNA from 1 species